rnacentral:rRNA from 1 species
AACGAACGCUGGCGGCAUGCCUAACACAUGCAAGUCGAACGACACCUCCGUGUCUACUGGCGCAUGUGUGUGUCACGCGUGGGAACCUUCCCUUAGGUUCGGAAUAACUCCCUUUCAGGGGUGCUAACACCGGAAAAUGUAUUCGGACCAAAGAUUCAUCCCCUUGGUAGGAGCCCGCGUUGGAUUAGCUGGUUGGUAGGGUAAAAGCCUACGAAGGCGACGCUCCAUAGCUGGUCUGAGAGGAAGAUCAGCCACACUGGGACUGGGACCCGGCGCGGACUCCUGCGGGAGGCAGCAGUGGGGAAUAUUGGAACAUGGGCGAGAGCCAGAUGCAGUAAUGGCGGGAGAGUGAUGAAGGCCGUAGGGUUGUGAAGCUCUUUUACCCGCGGUGAUAAUGACAGUACCGGGAGAAUAAGCUCCGGCUAACUCCGUG